rnacentral:lncRNA from 1 species
AUGUUUUUAACCGGCUCCGUGCGUGGAAUUUUUAUUUGGCAGAGGGACGGGCUGCUGUCAGGAAGACAGCAGCGAAGAGGAGGCUUUGACCUAACGAAUCUACUUGCAGGGUCAGCCAGCUCAGGUGCUGCUUCUGAGAUGGUUCGAGCCUUCUCCUCCAAAGUGCCAAAAGGACCAGGGCAAAAUCCCAUUGCAGCCACGGGCAGGAACCUCGGUACCCCCCGUCCGCACAUCCACCUGCUCCCUGCAGUGUCCCCUGCCCAACACGGGGACCGUCCCUUGGUUCAUGUGGUCAACGGGAUGCUGGAGAGCCAUAAAAUGAGGGCUAGCAGAGAGCAGCUCCCCCACACACGUACUACCGGCACCGCCAUCCCUGCCUCUGGCAUCUGCUCCGCACCAUCCCUCGUCUCGUCCCCAGCUCUGGCCGAGGUGGCUGCCCACGCGGCGGCACUUCAGAGCCACCAAAAACCCCUCGGGGAUGACACAGGGGCAGCAGCGCUGGUUCCCCCUCCCCUGUCCCCGCUGUUAUUGCUGCAGAUGGCGAAGGAGGACUGGGAGAACCGCCCCAGCUGGCAGCACAGCGCCGAUGAAUCACCGGUGAGCAAUCCUGCCGCGGGGCUUAACCGUGACUCUGCCAGCGGGGACCGGGGCAGCUCGGCUCCCUCCUCCCCACCUCGGCGAGGCCAGCUCCUCGUCCCUACACCGGGGACGCAGCCUUUGAGCCUCUCCGGCCAUCCCUGGAGACCUCCCGCUCGCCACGCCGUGACUUUGACACCUGCUGGCAUCGCGCCGCGGCGCUGCCCGGCCACGCUCCGUGCGCAAGGAGCUCGAGCGCGGCCGCCGGGCUGCCCAAACUCCCCGUCGACGCCCCUCGCAGUCUGCAGGCACUUGGCUCCGCUAUCAAAGAGCCGAGGAGUGCUCUCGCUUUCAAACCUGGAGCCUUUGAGCUCCUCUGACAGCGGCAGCCUCGCUGACCCUUGUCUGGAGGCUUGCAGGGCGUUCAGGCAGUCAGAAGCGCCGGCUGAGUCCUGA